rnacentral:lncRNA from 1 species
GUUUGUUUCCUCAUCACAUCACGCGAAUGUUGAUGGCAAACCCUAAAGACGUCGCCACAUCCUCUGCUCCACCGGACUCCGGUGACCUCACCGGACACCCCAUCCGGCCUGUGCUCCGGCCAAGACCAAAGGCUCCAUAUGCUUGAAUGAUUGAGUAAUUAUCUAAAAGAAGAUUCACAUUCAUGGAUUUGUUGGCGUUCAUUACCUCCCGUUGUACAAAACGUUUCAUACUGCAAUCCUUCAUCAAAGAGACAAAGAAAAAUAGGGUCAUGCUUUUGUUGCAAACUUCACGCAUGACUAAAUUGUGCCCCCUUUUCGUAUGUCGAAGGAACAAUGUCUGGAGUUGACGCUGCGAUCGAAGCUUGCUGCUGCACAAGCUGCAAAAAAUGUGACAACUUUUCUGAGGCGGAAUUCGAGCUUAAAAACAUAGCUGAAAAAAUGGUUCCCAGUUUCAAGUGGUCAGAAGUAUAUAGUUCUUGUGCUUAGAUUUGUCAUAUGGAUCUAAAGAACUGUAUGCCACUAGAUGAGGCUCAAAGAGUUAGACGUGAACAACCUGGAUCAUUGCAGACUGUACGAUUAAUUUUGUUAAUAGAUCAACGGUCAAGAUUGGAAAUAUAUCAUCAUCA